rnacentral:rRNA from 1 species
UACGAAGGGGGCUAGCGUUGCUCGGAAUCACUGGGCGUAAAGGGUGCGUAGGCGGGUCUUUAAGUCAGGGGUGAAAUCCUGGAGCUCAACUCCAGAACUGCCUUUGAUACUGAAGAUCUUGAGUUCGGGAGAGGUGAGUGGAACUGCGAGUGUAGAGGUGAAAUUCGUAGAUAUUCGCAAGAACACCAGUGGCGAAGGCGGACUCGACUGGCCCGAGUACCUGAC